CCCCCGCGCUGUGUAGUUUCAUUCUCCUCGCGGCUGGCUUUUUCGGGCGCUUUCCCUUGCCCCAGCGAUGGGGGAAGACAUGAUGUGUGUGAAGGGGGGAGUUGGGGCUCCCCGCUCAGCUAAUGCGCAGAGAGGGGGAGAUGGAGCAGGGACCUGCCUUGCAAAGGAUGCUGCAGCCAUGGAGUCCCUGGAGGAGAGGGAUCCGGGUGCAAACUCUGCCCCAGGGACCGGCUGCUGCAUGGGGACAAGUGCUACUGGCUGUCUAAGGAGCGUAAAGACUGGACUGGGAGCCGUGACGACUGCUCGGGGAAGAGCUCUCGCAUGCUCGUGAUCCAGAACCGGGAGGAGAUGAUGUUGUACAAGAUGCAAACCACAUCUGGAUUGGCCUUAAAGUGACACCCCCAGGGGGGAAAUGGACCUGGGUGGACGGUUCCCCAUUAGAUCCAGUGCGCUUCUCAGGCUCUGCUGAUGGGAACAGCUGCGGGUGGAUAAAAGGCAGCCAGGUUCUGUCUGAGACGUGUGCCGCGGAGCUCAAAUGGAUCUGCCAGAAAGAAGCGGCCGUGAUAUAAACAGUGCAACUGAGGAUCCACAUUUGUGUAUCUGUAAUGUGAAGUACCCCCCUGUUCAGUUUCAUGGGUAGGGCCCUACCAAAUUCACCCAUCCAGUUUGGUAAAUUUCAUGGUCAUGAGAUUUUUAAAAGUCUUUUAAAUUUCA